rnacentral:rRNA from 1 species
UACGUAGGGACCAAGCGUUGUUCGGAUUUACUGGGCGUAAAGGGCGCGUAGGCGGCGUGUUAAGUCACUUGUGAAAUCUCUAAGCUUAACUUAGAACGGUCAAGUGAUACUGAUGUGCUAGAGUGCAGAAGGGCCAACCGGAAUUCUUGGUGUAGCGGUGAAAUGCGUAGAUAUCAAGAGGAACACCUGAGGUGAAGACGGGUUGCUGGGCUGACACUGACGCUGAGGCGCGAAAGCUAGGGUAGCAAACGGG